rnacentral:siRNA from 1 species
AAGUUUGAAAGAUUGAAGGGGAG